GCAGAGGGAGCCUCUCCUGUUUCCUGCAGGGAUCUAAUCAGAUGGAAGAAUCUGUGUUUGCAGCACUCUACCUCGACUCCAACAGAUGUGCAGGAAGUUCACACCAGAUCUUGCAGCAGAGUUACUGCCAAAACCAGCAAAAGAGAGAGGUGAUGAGGGAGUGAGAGAAUAGAUGAGCAGUCACAGCUCUGCGCAUGCUGCCGGUAAUUAAACAAAGACGAGACGGACUGAGGUCACACCUGCACAGCAAGCCUGUCAUGUAUCUUCUAUCAUUGCUGAUGCAGUGAUAAUUAAAACAGACGUGGAAAUCA